GAUGAACGCUGGCGGCGUGCCUAAUACAUGCAAGUCGAGCGAACAGAUGAGGAGCUUGCUCCUCUGACGUUAGCGGCGGACGGGUGAGUAACACGUGGAUAACCUACCUAUAAGACUGGGAUAACUUCGGGAAACCGGAGCUAAUACCGGAUAAUAUAUUGAACCGCAUGGUUCAAUAGUGAAAGACGGUUUUGCUGUCACUUAUAGAUGGAUCCGCGCCGCAUUAGCUAGUUGGUAAGGUAACGGCUUACCAAGGCAACGAUGCGUAGCCGACCUGAGAGGGUGAUCGGCCACACUGGAACUGAGACACGGUCCAGACUCCUACGGGGGGCAGCAGUAGGGAAUCUUCCGCAAUGGGCGAAAGCCUGAGGAGCAACGCCGCGUGAGUGAUGAAGGUCUUCGGAUCGUAAAACUCUGUUAUUAGGGAAGAACAAAUGUGUAAGUAACUAUGCACGUCUUGACGGUACCUAAUCAGAAAGCCACGGCUAACUACGUG
rnacentral:rRNA from 1 species